UUAGUAGUUGUUGUUAGUAGUUGUUGUUAGUUGUUGUUGUUGUUGUUAGUUGUUAGUAGUUGUUGUUAGUAGUUGUUGUUAGUAGUUGUUGUUGUUAGUUGUUGUUGUUGUUAGUUGUUAGUAGUUGUUGUUAGUUGUUGUUGUUAGUAGUUGUUGUUGUUAGUUGUUGUUAGUAGUUGUUGUUGUUGUUGUUAGUUGUUGUUGUUAGUAGUUGUUGUUAGUUGUUGUUGUUAGUAGUUGUAGUUGUUGUUGUUGUUAGUUGUUGUUAGUUGUAGUUGUUGUUGUUGUUUUCUUGCCACUAUCAGGCUUUGGUUUUAGGGGCCAGAGGGUUUCUUCUUUCUUUAUACUUUCCUGACAAGAAGAUUUGCUUUUAAAAAAGACCAAAUUGUGACAUUAUAUUAACUUUAUAAUAUCAUUUACAUUUACAUUUAAGUCAUUUAGCAGACGCUCUUAUCCAGAGCGACUUACAAAUUGGUGCAUUCACCUUAUGAGAUCCAGUGGAACAGCCACUUUACAAUAGUGCAUCUAAAUCUUAAAAGGGGGGGGGGGUGAGAAGGAUUACUUUAUCCUAUCCUAGGUAUUCCUUAAAGAGGUGGGGUUUCAGGUGUCUCCGGAAGGUGGUGAUUGACUCUUGAUAUCGACUGAAGGACUUAUUAAUGCAACAGGUGUUUGAUGGUAACAGUGUGUAUAGUUCAUUGUUUAAUUGACUCUCCUCCCUACAGGUGUUUGAUGGUAACAGUGUGUAUAGUUCAUUGUUUAAUUGACUCUCCUCCCUAACAGGUGUUUGAUGGUAACAGUGUGUAUAGUUCAUUGUUUAAUUGACUCUCCUCCCCUAACAGGUGUUUGAUGGUAACAGUGUGUAUAGUUCAUUGUUUAAUUGACUCUCCUCCCCUAACAGGUGUUUGAUGGUAACAGUGUGUAUAGUUCAUUGUUUAAUUGACUCUCCUCCCUAACAGGUGUUUGAUGGUAACAGUGUGUAUAGUUCAUUGUUUAAUUGACUCUCCUCCCCUAACAGGUGUUUGAUGGUAACAGUGUGUAUAGUUCAUUGUUUAAUUGACUCUCCUCCCCUAACAGGUGUUUGAUGGUAACAGUGUGUAUAGUUCAUUGUUUAAUUGACUCUCCUCCCUACAGGUGUUUGAUGGUAACAGUGUGUAUAGUUCAUUGUUUAAUUGACUCUCCUCCCUACAGGUGUUUGAUGGUAACAGUGUGUAUAGUUCAUUGUUUAAUUGACUCUCCUCCCUAACAGGUGUUUGAUGGUAACAGUGUGUAUAGUUCAUUGUUUAAUUGACUCUCCUCCCUACAGGUGUUUGAUGGUAACAGUGUGUAUAGUUCAUUGUUUAAUUGACUCUCCUCCCUAACAGGUGUUUGAUGGUAACAGUGUGUAUAGUUCAUUGUUUAAUUGACUCUCCUCCCUACAGGUGUUUGAUGGUAACAGUGUGUAUAGUUCAUUGUUUAAUUGACUCUCCUCCCUACAGGUGUUUGAUGGUAACAGUGUGUAUAGUUCAUUGUUUAAUUGACUCUCC